GAUGAACGCUGGCGGCGUACCUAAUACAUGCAAGUCGAGCGAACAGACGAGGAGCUUGCUCCUCUGACGUUAGCGGCGGACGGGUGAGUAACACGUGGAUAACCUACCUAUAAGACUGGGAUAACUUCGGGAACCGGAGCUAAUACCGGAUAAUAUAUUGAACCGCAUGGUUCAAUAGUGAAAGACGGUUUUGCUGUCACUUAUAGAUGGAUCCGCGCCGCAUUAGCUAGUUGGUAAGGUAACGGCUUACCAAGGCGACGAUGCGUAGCCGACCUGAGAGGGUGAUCGGCCACACUGGAACUGAGACACGGUCCAGACUCCUACGGGAGGCAGCAGUAGGGAAUCUUCCGCAAUGGGCGAAAGCCUGACGGAGCAACGCCGCGUGAGUGAUGAAGGUCUUCGGAUCGUAAAACUCUGUUAUUAGGGAAGAACAAAUGUGUAAGUAACUAUGCACGUCUUGACGGUACCUAAUCAGAAAGCCACGGCUAACUACGUG
rnacentral:rRNA from 1 species